rnacentral:rRNA from 1 species
GAGUUUGAUCCUGGCUCAGGAUGAACGCUGGCGGCGUGCUUAACACAUGCAAGUCGAACGAAGCGCCUUAUUUGAUUUUCUUCGGAACUGAGGAUUUGGUGACUGAGUGGCGGACGGGUGAGUAACGCGUGGGUAACCUGCCCUGUACAGGGGGAUAACAAUCAGAAAUGACUGCUAAUACCGCAUAAGACCACAGCACCGCAUGGUGCAGGGGUAAAAACUCCGGUGGUACAGGAUGGACCCGCGUCUGAUUAGCUGGUUGGUGAGGUAACGGCUCACCAAGGCGACGAUCAGUAGCCGGCUUGAGAGAGUGAACGGCCACAUUGGGACUGAGACACGGCCCAAACUCCUACGGGAGGCAGCAGUGGGGAAUAUUGCACAAUGGGGGAAACCCUGAUGCAGCAACGCCGCGUGAGUGAAGAAGUAUUUCGGUAUGUAAAGCUCUAUCAGCAGGGAAGAAAGUGACGGUACUGACUAAGAAGCCCGGCUAACUACGU